GGAAAAAAGAACAACGGCUUUCAUUUUUCGGAAAAGGGUGAAAGCCUCCUAACUUUUGCAUGGAAACUGUGGUCCAAGAAUCAAGGAUUGGAGCUGAUGGACCCAUUAAUUGAGGGGUCAAGUGUUGCGUCCGAGGUGCUGAAAUGCAUUCACAUUGGAUUGUUGUGUGUGCAAGAAGAUCCAGCAGACAGACCCACUAUGUCAUCUGUUGUUGUUAUGUUGGCAAGUGAUCAUAUUACGCUUCCUCAACCCACACAACCUGCAUUUUCUGUAGGUCGAAUUGCGGCAAGAUUAGCUUCCUCAAAUCAGACAGUUUGCUCUGUUAAUCAAGUAACUCUUUCAAAUAUAUCCCCACGAUGAUGGUGUGAUUGUGAUGUAAUUCUAUAGAUGCUAUUAAAUUUUUAUCCGAG
rnacentral:misc_RNA from 1 species